CGUGAGGGGUGAGGACCAGUGCUACCAAUUAGGAGGGUUGCAAAGUGGGUAAAAUAGCAAUUCCGGGGGAAUGGCAAGUCGUGGCCUUAGGGAAGAAGAAAAAUCAAUUGUGGACAGUGAGCGAGAGACACGUGCUAUUGCGGGAAAAAACAAAAAAAGAGACAAAAUAAGCGGAAGACAAUAUUCAAACACCGGAGUGACGACAGGAGGGUUGGGAUAUACACCAGCGAGGCUUCAUAGGCAGAGGAGUAGCAGUAACUGCGGGCGUUCUGGGAAGUGCGCUGUGCGCGGGUCAGCACCGACCGGCAGUACUGGGUCUUAGGCCGGACCUCGGCCCUAGCGGAAGUCAGGCCAAUUUCCAUGCAACUGGAAGUCUGGGCUAAGUACCCUUCAACAUUAAAAUACUAAAUAUUCACACACAUUCCGCUCAAACAUAGAACCAAAAUUUUAUAUACACCCUACAUACAUAUACAUAGCCAUCUCACAUACACCAGUGCAGCAUAUAACACAAAAUUCAACUAAAUACUCACACAUAUUCCGCUCAAACAUAGAACACAAAAUUUUAUAUACACCACACACUCCUUUAUAUACACUCCAUACAUGUUCACAUACACCAUAUUCAAACACACACCGAAUUUCCAUAGCACUCAGACUCACAUUCAUCCCAUAGCCACAUAAUAUAAAAUACAAAACAAAAACAACACCCAAACAUUUAACCAUAUUGUAAUACACACACGCCCAUAGCCACAUAAUGUAAAAUACAAAACAAAAAAACAACACACAAAACAAUUAACAAUUUUCUGUUAGACACAUAGCCCAAACCAUUCACAACAUAAUAUAAAACAUUAAACAGAAACACAACACCAAACAAGUAACCAUAUUGUAAACAAAAAUUCAAAUGUAUACUUAAGAAAAAAGAACAUAAAAAAAAAAAAAAAAAGAAAAGUAAAAGAAAAUGUAUAAAAACUAAUAUAAGCAAAAGAGGUUGGAAUGUGUAUUGGAGCGGCGCAGUUUUUUUUUGUUUAUCUCCUUGUCAUUACAUAUCAUUACACCCCUCAUAACCACAUACUCGAGUAUAGGUAGGUUAGGAGGUUCGAAAAUCGAAUAAGAUAAAUAGGCACAAAGAGCCAACAAACUGCAGCGUCCCAAAACUCAAUGGCCUAAAUACCCGAAUAUAUUUUUAUUGUAAUAAAAUUUAAAAUUUGAAAAUGAA